rnacentral:rRNA from 1 species
CGCGUGGGGAAUCUACCCAUCACUACGGAACAACUCCGGGAAACUGGAGCUAAUACCGUAUACGUCCUUCGGGAGAAAGAUUUAUCGGUGAUGGAUGAGCCCGCGUUGGAUUAGCUAGUUGGUGGGGUAAUGGCCUACCAAGGCGACGAUCCAUAGCUGGUCUGAGAGGAUGAUCAGCCACACUGGGACUGAGACACGGCCCAGACUCCUACGGGAGGCAGCAGUGGGGAAUAUUGGACAAUGGGCGAAAGCCUGAUCCAGCCAUGCCGCGUGAGUGAUGAAGGCCCUAGGGUUGUAAAGCUCUUUCAACGGUGAAGAUAAUGACGGUAACCGUAGAAGAAGCCCCGGCUAACUUCGUGCCAGCAGCCGCGGUAAUACGAAGGGGGCUAGCGUUGUUCGGAAUUACUGGGCGUAAAGCGCACGUAGGCGGAUUGUUAAGUGAGGGGUGAAAUCCCAGGGCUCAACCCUGGAACUGC